rnacentral:rRNA from 1 species
CCUACGGGUGGCAGCAGUGAGGAAUAUUGGUCAAUGGACGCAAGUCUGAACCAGCCAUGCCGCGUGCAGGAAGACGGCCCUAUGAGUUGUAAACUGCUUUUGUACGAGGGUAAACUCAGAUACGCGUACCUUUCUGUAUGUACCUUACGAAUAAGGAUCGGCUAACUCCGUGCCAGCAGCCGCGGUAAUACGGAGGAUUCAAGCGUUAUCCGGAUUUAUUGGGUUUAAAGGGUGCGUAGGUGGGCGGUUAAGUUAGAGGUGAAAUCCCGCGGCUCAACUUCGGAAUUGCCUCUGAUACUGUUAGGCUAGAGAGUAGUUGCGGUAGGCGGAAUGUGUGGUGUAGCGGUGAAAUGCUUAGAGAUCAUACAGAACACCGAUUGCGAAGGCAGCUUACCAAGCUGCUUCUGACGUUGAGGCACGAAAGCGUGGGGAGCAAACAGGAUUAGAUACCCCUGUAGUC